rnacentral:rRNA from 1 species
GAUGAACGCUGGCGGCGUGCCUAAUACAUGCAAGUCGAGCGAACGGACGAGAAGCUUGCUUCUCUGAUGUUAGCGGCGGACGGGUGAGUAACACGUGGAUAACCUACCUAUAAGACUGGGAUAACUUCGGGAAACCGGUGCUAAUACCGGAUAAUAUUUUGAACCGCAUGGUUCAAAAGUGAAAGACGGUCUUGCUGUCACUCAUAGAUGGAUCCGCGCUGCAUUAGCUAGUUGGUAAGGUAACGGCUUACCAAGGCAACGAUGCAUAGCCGACCUGAGAGGGUGAUCGGCCACACGGGAACUGAGACACGGUCCAGACUCCUACGGGAGGCAGCAGUAGGGAAUCUUCCGCAAUGGGCGAAAGCCUGACGGAGCAACGCCGCGUGAGUGAUGAAGGUCUUCGGAUCGUAAAACUCUGUUAUUAGGGAAGAACAUAUGUGUAAGUAACUGUGCACAUCUUGACGGUACCUAAUCAGAAAGCCACGGCUAACUACGUG